rnacentral:rRNA from 1 species
UAAAUCUAUUUAAAAGCAAUAAAAGGAUGCCUUGGGUAAAAAAGAGGAAGAAAGACGUAGCUGGCUGCGAUAAGUCCUGAUGAGGUGCCAACGACCGCUUGGAGUCAGGAAUUUCUGAAUGGGGUAACCUACUCUGUAUAACAGAGUACAAAAUUGACAAGACCCACUGAAGUGAAAUAUCUCAGUAAGUGGAGGAAAAGAAAUCGUAAUGAGAUUCCCUUAGUAGUGACGAGCGAACAGGGAAGAGCCUAAACUCUAUUAGUGUAAGUUUCUAGGCGUUGCUAAUAGGAGGGUUGUAGGGUUGUUCAUGAGUAGCUAGAACUGCUCAAAAGUAGAGUGAUUUUGUUAGGAGAAGUGCUUGGAUGGCAUACCAUAGAAGGUUAAAGUCCUGUAUCUGAAAACAUGAUCCCGCUUUGUAACAAUACCUGAGUAAUAUCAGACACGAGAAAUCUGGUAUGAAUCUGCCCAGACCACUGGGUAAGGCUAAAUACUUUUUUACACCGAUAGCGCAUAGUACCGUGAGGGAACGGUGAAAAGAACCCCAGGUAGGGGAGUGAAAUAGAACCUGAAAUUUAUUGCUUACAAUUGAGUGGGAGCCGCAAGGUGACCACGUACCUAUUGACGAAUGGGUCAGCGAGUUAUUAGUGGUAGCAAGGUUAAGCCAGUUAUAGGUGGAGCCGUAGCGAAAGCGAGUCUGAAUAGGGCGAAUUUAGUUAUCAUUAAUAGACCCGAAGCGGUAUGAGCUAGUCAUGGGCAGGUUGAAGGCAUAGGAAACUGUGCUGGAGGACCGAACGGGUUGGUGCUGCAAAACCUUCCGAUGACCUGUGAUUAGGAGUGAAAAGCUCAUCGAAUACCGUGAUAGCUGGUUCUCUCCGAAAUGCAUUUAGGUGCAGCCUGUAAUUUAGGUCUUAAAGAGGUAGAGCUCUGGAAAGGCUAGGGGUGUCGAGAGGCAUUACCAAACCUUACUAAACUUCGAAUGCUUUAAGGAAUAUUACAGAGUGGGACUACGGGAGCAAGUUUCGUAGUCAAAAGGAUAACAGUCCAGAUUUCUGACUAAGGUCCCUAAAUCAAUGCUAAGUGGAAAAUGAGGUGUCUUUACUUAUACAUCCAGGAGGUUUGCCUAGAAGCAGCAAUCCUUUAAAGAAAGCGUAACAGCUCACUGGACUAGUGAAGGUGCGCAGAAGAUGUAACGGGGCUAAGCAUUGUACCGAAGUCGAAAGCCAACAUAGCAAUAUGUUGUGCGGUAGGAGAGUGUUCUUACGGGAUGAAGCUACACUGUGAGGUGUGGUCGACUAGUAAGAAGUAAAAAUGCUGACAUGAGUAACGCUUAUUGAUGAAAAUUCAAUAUAUCGAAACCCUAAGGAUUCCUACGCAACGUUCAUCGUCGUAGGGUUAGUCGGGACCUAAGGCUUAUCCAGAAAUGGAAAGUCGAUGGAUAACUGGUUAAUAUUCCAGUACUUAAAUAUAGAGUGAUGGAGUGACGCAUUGAGAUUUGUAAGAGCUCAUUAAGGAUUUGAGUCGAAAGAAUAAGGUUUUUAUAGCAUUUGUUAUAAAGGUAGUUGCAGGAAAAUCCACAACUAUUGAUACUGAAUUUGAUCGAAAUUUGAUUCCUCGGAAUUAGAAAUUCUUAUCGUUUUGGUGCCGAGAAAAACUUCUAAACUUAAUCUAUAUUUAACCCGUACUCAGAUCAGACACUUGUGGGGUGGUAGAGAAUACUAAGAUAGUCGAGAUAACUAAUGGGUAAGGAACUUGGCAAAUUAGCGGACGUACUUUCGAAAUAAGUCCUGUCCUGAGCAAUCAGGAUCGCAGCGAAUGAGAUGGGGGGAACUGUUUAUCACAAACACAGCUCGUUGCUAACUCGUAAGAGGAUGUAUAACGGGUGAUGCCUGUCCAAUGCCAGAAUGUUAUGCUCUCUUGUGCAAGCUCGAGGGUUAAGCACUGGUGAAUGACGGCCGUAACUAUGACGGUCCUAAGGUAGCGAAAUUCCUUGUCAGGUAAGUUCUGACGCGCAUGAAUGGCA